GCCUCCGUGGCGCAAUGGAUUAGCGCGUUGGACUUCUAAUUCAAAGGUUGUGGGUUCGAGUCCCACCGGAGGUG
rnacentral:tRNA from 2 species